CUAACACACGCCGCGUGUAUAUGUAUGUGUGUAUAUAUAUAUAUAUAUAUAUAUAUACAUACACACAUAUAUAUAUAUAUACAUAUAUAUAUAUACACACACACAUACAUACACUGCUGUGUGUGUGUG